rnacentral:lncRNA from 1 species
UACAAUGGCUGCUGGUACAGUUUGCUGCUACUGCCUUGGUUUGGGCUAAGGCAUCAAUAAUUUACCACUGCUUUUGUACCCUCAGUGCCAAUGCCAACACAGUGAACAAGAGAAAUGACAUCUUGGAAUUAUAAUGAAAAUAGUUUUGAUCUCACAGACCCCCUGAAAGGAACUUCAAGACUUCCAGAGGUCCACGGACCACACUUUGAGAAAUGACACACUCUGACCUCAAUUCAGCUGGACCUACAGAAACUUGCUCAUUCCCAAGGACCAAUAAGCCCUCAAGGUGCUGGUACUGGUGAUGAUGAUGAUGAUGAUGACGGCGAUGAUGUCUCCCACGUACUGAGCUGAAUGUGUGGCUGGUCUCGUUUGAUCACGCCACAUGAACCGUCUCUUUUGAUUCCCACAACAAUCCUAUGAGAUCGACUUUAUGAUUUUCCUUUCACAGAUGGGAAAGCAAGUUUGCUGUACCCAAGACCAUCCAGCUGGGAAGCUGGAGACCUGUGAACGCGAUCUCCUCGGCUCUCCUGAACAACCUACUGGGGGCAUGAAAGCAGCAGGACUGGUCUUGGGAGAAGCUUGUCCACCAGGUCCUGAAGCCGGAGGAUGUUCUUGCGGUCCUCCUCGGCCUGCAAACACAGCACCCGUGCAGGGCCCAAACCCACUGCGGCUUCCGAUGGGGUCUGAGCAGCAAAGCGCUUGGGGAGG